rnacentral:rRNA from 1 species
UCAGAUGAGCUGUGGGUAGGGGUGAAAGGCCAAUCAAACUAGGAAAUAGCUCGUACUCCCCGAAAUGCAUUUAGGUGCAGCCUCGAGGUUGAGUUUUAUAGAGGUAGAGCUACUGAUAGGGCUAGGGGGCUUCACCGCCUACCAACCCCUGACAAACUCCGAAUGCUAUAAAAUAUACUCGGGAGUGAGGGCAUGGGUGCUAAGGUCCAUGUCCGAGAGGGAAAGAACCCAGACCAUCGGCUAAGGUCCCAAAAUAUAUGUUAAGUUGAUCAAACGUUGUGCGAUUGCAUAGACAGCUAGGAUGUUGGCUUGGAAGCAGCCAUUCAUUUAAAGAGUGCGUAACAGCUCACUAGUCGAGCGAUCGUGCGUGGAUAAUAAUCGGGCAUUAAACAUAUUACCGAAGCUGUGGAUUUUAUAUUUAUAUAAUCUGGUAGGGGAGCAUUCUAUGGGCGUUGAAUGUGUGGCGUAAGCCAUGCUGGAGCGCAUAGAAAAGCAAAUGUAGGAAUAAGUAACGAUAAAGCAGGCGAGAAACCUGCUCACCGAUAGACUAAGGUUUCCUGAGCGACGCUAAUCGUCUCAGGGUUAGUCGGGACCUAACGCGAACCCGAAGGGGGUAGUGGAUGGACAAUGGGUUAAUAUUCCCAUACUUGUUGUAACUGCGAUGGGGUGACGGAGUAAUGAACAGACCGCGUACUGACGGAAUAGUACGUUAAAGGGUGUAGAUAUUGGAAUUGUAGGUAAAUCCGCAGAUCUAGUCGAACCUGAUAGUACCACAAAGCUUCGGCUGCGUGGAUAGUGUCUCUAAGCGCUUCCAAGAAAAACCUCUAAGCUUCAGGUUACAACAACUCGUACCGUAAACCGACACAGGUAGUCAAGGAGAGAAUCCUAAGGUGCUCGAGUGAUUCAUGGCUAAGGAACUAGGCAAAAUGGUCUCGUAACUUCGGGAGAAGAGACGCCAACAGUAAUGUUGGCCGCAGUGAAUAGGCCCAGGCGACUGUUUAUCAAAAACACAUGGCUUUGCAAAAACGAAAGUUGACGUAUAAGGCCUGACACCUGCCCGGUGCUGGAAGGUUAAGAGGAGAUGUUAGAUUCGUCGAAGCAUUGAAUUGAAGCCCCAGUAAACGGCGGCCGUAACAAUAACGGUCCUAAGGUAGCG